UCCAGACUCCUACGGGAGGCAGCAGUGGGGAAUAUUGCACAAUGGGGGGAACCCUGAUGCAGCGACGCCGCGUGGGUGAAGGAGCACCUCGGUGCGUAAAGCCCUAUCGGCAGGGAAGAAACAGACGGUACCUGACUAAGAAGCCCCGGCUAACUACGUGCCAGCAGCCGCGGGAAUACGUAUGGAGCAAGCGUUAUCCGGAAUUACUGGGUGUAAAGGGAGCGUAGGCGGCAAGGCAAGUCUGAUGUGAAAACCCAGGGCCCAACCCUGGGACUGCAUUGGGAACUGUAUUGCUUGAGUACCGGAGAGGCAGGCGGAAUUCCUAGUGUAGCGGUGAAAUGCGUAGAUAUUAGGAGGAACACCGGCGGCGAAGGCGGCCUGCUGGACCGUAACUGACGUUGAGGCUCGAAAGCGUGGGGAGCAAACAGGAUUAGAUACCCGGGUAAAG
rnacentral:rRNA from 1 species